CCCCUUCUAAAAGCACUUGAUGGGCCUUUUGCUAAUGACCCACUGAGCCGUCAAGAAAGGGCAGAGUAAAAACACCACUUCUGGGUGAAGCGGCAGCAGCUUGUGCUGUUCGGCUUCAAUCGGUGGUGUGACAAGG